UACGUAGGGUGCAAGCGUUAAUCGGAAUUACUGGGCGUAAAGCGUGCGCAGGCGGCUUUGCAAGACAGAUGUGAAAUCCCCGGGCUCAACCUGGGAACUGCAUUUGUGACUGCAAGGCUAGAGUACGGUAGAGGGGGAUGGAAUUCCGCGUGUAGCAGUGAAAUGCGUAGAUAUGCGGAGGAACACCGAUGGCGAAGGCAAUCCCCUGGACCUGUACUGACGCUCAUGCACGAAAGCGUGGGGGAGCAAACAGG
rnacentral:rRNA from 1 species